CCUACGGGAGGCAGCAGUGAGGAAUAUUGGUCAAUGGACGCAAGCCUGAACCAGCCAUGCAGCGUGCAGGAUGACUGCCCUACGGGUUGCAAACUUCUUUUAUACAGGAGUAAAGUGAGGCACGUGUACCUUUUUGUAUGUACUUUAUGAAUAAGGAUCGGCUAACUCCGUGCCAGCAGCCGCGGUAAUACGGAGGAUCCAAGCGUUAUCCGGAUUUAUUGGGUUUAAAGGGUGCGUAGAUGGGUUGUUAAGUUAGUUGUGAAAGUUUCGGGCUCAACCGGAAAAUUGCAAUUGAUACUGGCAGCCUUGAGAACAGAUGAGGUAGGCGGAAUGCGUGGUGUAGCGGUGAAAUGCUUAGAUAUCACGAAGAACUCCGAUUGCGAAGGCAGCUUACCAAUCUACAUCUGACAUUGAGGCACGAAAGCGUGGGGAGCAAACAGGAUUAGAUACCCUGGUAGUC
rnacentral:rRNA from 1 species